rnacentral:rRNA from 1 species
GUGGGGAAUUUUGGACAAUGGGCGCAAGCCUGAUCCAGCCAUGCCGCGUGAGUGAUGAAGGCCCUAGGGUUGUAAAGCUCUUUCACCGGAGAAGAUAAUGACGGUAUCCGGAGAAGAAGCCCCGGCUAACUUCGUGCCAGCAGCCGCGGUAAUACGAAGGGGGCUAGCGUUGUUCGGAAUUACUGGGCGUAAAGCGCACGUAGGCGGAUAUUUAAGUCAGGGGUGAAAUCCCGGAGCUCAACUCCGGAACUGCCUUUGAUACUGGGUAUCUCGAGUAUGGAAGAGGUGAGUGGAAUUCCGAGUGUAGAGGUGAAAUUCGUAGAUAUUCGGAGGAACACCAGUGGCGAAGGCGGCUCACUGGUCCAUUACUGACGCUGAGGUGCGAAAGCGUGGGGAGCAAACAGGAUUAGAAACCCGGGUAGUCC